UACAAUUUCUGGAUCUGGAACUAGAAGGACAGACUGUGUGUUUGGGGAUUCUGAGACUCAGAUUGUUUUGCUGCAGCUAAUCUUGGAGAUAGCAUUGGCUGCCCACAUGAUCGAGGAAGGCCGGUAGAAUAAGAAUCCAAUCCCAUAAAACAAAUGUUUGUCGAGGCUUAUAUAAUAGGGCUUGCAGGUCUGUAGCAGUUGGUGACGGGUGGCUUUGUCGGAAGUUUACAGAUAAAGACUAUUAUAUGUGAUUUGGUGUCACCAAACUCAGGAAGAAGGUGGACUUUUUGGUGCGGACACUCGAUGCCCGUGAUUUCUUGUUUCUGCUCGAUCAUUUCAAUUGUCUGUGGCUGUGUACUGUUGUGGAACAUUUGAACUGUCAACAGUAAGGAGUUGGAACCUGGUAAGUGGCAGUAUUUGCAUUAUGGAUGUAAUUAUACGUGUAGGCAAUGGCUAAAACAAAAAAUUUCUCUUGUGGUUUAAUUAGUCACUAGAGACAGUGGCUGACAUGAAACCAUGUGAUCCAUAUUGGAUGCGUCUUCGUACAGGAAGCCACGAUGUUUUGAGGGUUAAAGGAUGCAGCUUUUGGCAUCUUUCUUUGGUCUUUUUCUUUGAUGAUUAGCUACUUUUCGCUGGACUUUUUGGAGUGUAAGAAAU